rnacentral:rRNA from 1 species
CGAGUAGGUGGCCAUCUAAGUCAGACGUGAAAUCCCCCGGCUUAACCUGGGAACUGCGUCUGAUACUGGACGGCUUGAGUAUGGGAGAGGGAUGUAGAAUUCCAGGUGUAGCGGUGAAAUGCGUAGAUAUCUGGAGGAAUACCGGUGGCGAAGGCGGCAUCCUGGACCAUUACUGACACUGAACCGCGAAAGCUAGGGAGCAAACG